rnacentral:snoRNA from 1 species
GUGGCUUCUUUUUCGUUUUUAAUCUGAAACUGAAAUUUUAAUAAUGUAAAAUUUUUGUUAUAAAAAAGAAGCCUAAAUUAAUUGUUCCCCUCGCUAUCCGGUGCUUCAAAUCAUGUGGCAUUUGGACGUCGGGGAACUACAUAU